CCUACGGGGGGCUGCAGUGAGGAAUAUUGGUCAAUGGCCGGAAGGCUGAACCAGCCAAGCCGCGUGAGGGAGGAAGGCGCAGAGCGUCGCAGACCUCUUUUGCCGGGGGACAAAAGGCCGGAAGGGUCCGGUUCUGAGGGUACCCGGAGAAAAAGCAUCGGCUAACUCCGUGCCAGCAGCCGCGGUAAUACGGAGGAUGCGAGCGUUAUCCGGAUUCAUUGGGUUUAAAGGGUGCGCAGGCGGGCCUUUAAGUCGGCGGUGAAAUCGCGGGGCUCAACCCCGCCGGGCCGUCGGAACUGGGGGCCUUGAGUGCAGCGGAGGCAUGCGGAAUACGUGGUGUAGCGGUGAAAUGCAUAGAUAUCGCGCAGAACCCCGAUUGCGAAGGCAGCGUGCCGUGCCGCCACUGACGCUGAGGCACGAAAGCGCGGGGAUCGAACAGGAUUAGAUACCCCAGUAGUC
rnacentral:rRNA from 1 species